rnacentral:rRNA from 1 species
GACGAACGCUGGCGGCGUGCCUAAUACAUGCAAGUCGAGCGCAGGAAACUGACGGAACUCUUCGGAGGGAAGGCAGUGGAAUGAGCGGCGGAUGGGUGAGUAACACGUAAGGAACCUGCCUCAAGGAUUGGGAUAACUCCGAGAAAUCGGAGCUAAUACCGGAUAGUUCAACGGACCGCAUGGUCCGCUGAUGAAAGGCGCCCCGGCGUCACCUUGAGAUGGCCUUGCGGUGCAUUAGCUAGUUGGGGGGGUAACGGCCCACCAAGGCGACGAUGCAUAGCCGACCUGAGAGGGUGAUCGGCCACACUGGGACUGAGACACGGCCCAGACUCCUACGGGAGGCAGCAGUAGGGAAUCUUCCACAAUGGACGAAAGUCUGAUGGAGCAACGCCGCGUGAGUGAUGAAGGUUUUCGGAUCGUAAAACUCUGUUGUAAGGGAAGAACACGUACGAGAGGAAAUGCUCGUACCUUGACGGUACCUUACGAGAAAGCCACGGCUAACUACGUGCCAGCAGCCGCCGUAA